GUUGUAUGGUUAAGUGACGAAGCGUAUACGGUGGAUGCCUUGGCAGUUAGAGGCGAUGAAGGACGUGUAAGUCUGCGAAAAGCUGUGGUGAGCCGACAAAAUGCAUUUGAGCCACAGAUGUCCGAAUGGGGAAACCCACCUGUUUACAGGUAUCGUUACAUGAAUACAUAGUGUAACGAGGCGAACGAGGGGAACUGAAACAUCUAAGUACCCUCAGGAAAAGAAAUCAAUUGAGAUUCCCCUAGUAGCGGCGAGCGAACGGGGAGCAGCCCUUAAGCUGUUUAGUGUGUAGUGGAAUCCUUUGGGAAGAGGAGCGAUACAGGGUGAUAGCCCCGUACACAAAGCGCGUUUUACAGUGAAAUCGAGUAGGUCGGGACACGUGUUAUCUUGACUGAAUAUGGGGGGACCAUCCUCCAAGGCUAAAUACUCCUAACUGACCGAUAGUGAACCAGUACCGUGAGGGAAAGGCGAAAAGA
rnacentral:rRNA from 1 species